rnacentral:rRNA from 1 species
UACGAAGGGUGCAAACGUUGCUCGGAAUUAUUGGGCGUAAAGCGCACGUAGGCGGCUUUGCAAGUCGGAUGUGAAAUCCCUCGGCUUAACCAAGGAAGUGCAUCCGAAACUGCAGUGCUUGAGUACUUAAGAGGAUCGCGGAAUUCCCGGUGUAGAGGUGAAAUUCGUAGAUAUCGGGAGGAACACCAGUGGCGAAGGCGGCGAUCUGGGAAGAUACUGACGCUGAGGUGCGAAAGCGUGGGGAGCAAACAGG